CGGAGUGUAGUUCAGUGGUAGAACAGCUGAUUCGAGCAUGUCACAGGUUCAAUUCCUGCCACUCCAA
rnacentral:tRNA from 1 species